UGCCCAGACUCCUACGGGAGGCAGCAGUGGGGGAUAUUGCACAAUGGGGGAAACCCUGAUGCAGCGACGCCGCGUGGGUGAAGAAGCGCCUCGGCGCGUAAAGCCCUGUCAGCAGGGAAGAAAAUGACGGUACCUGAAGAAGAAGCCCCGGCUAACUACGUGCCAGCAGCCGCGGUAAUACGUAGGGGGCAAGCGUUAUCCGGAUUUACUGGGUGUAAAGGGGGCGCAGACGGCGAUGCAAGCCAGGAGUGAAAGCCCGGGGCCCAACCCCGGGACUGCUCUUGGAACUGCGUGGCUAGAGUGCAGGAGGGGCAGGCGGAAUUCCUGGUGUAGCGGUGAAAUGCGUAGAUAUACGGAGGAACACCAGUGGCGAAGGCGGAUUGCUGGACAGUAACUGACGCUGAGGCGCGAAAGCGUGGGGAGCAAACAGGAUUAGAUACCCGAGUA
rnacentral:rRNA from 1 species